CCCGGGUGCCGCCCCCGCCGCUCUCGGUAGGUCCGGCGGGCGCAGCGCUGCCGCCCGCGGCGAGCCGGCUCCGCACGGGCGAGGCCUCCCCGCACCGCCCCGGCCCGCCAGGCCUCGCCGAGCCCCGGCUCCGCCCGCGGCGGCGGCGCCUCCGCCGGAAGGGAAGCGGAGCCGCCCCGGCCGAGGGGAGGGGACACGGCCCGGCCCGGCCGCCCCGCGGUACCUGCGCUGAAAGUCCGUCCGGAAGGGCGCCAGGCUCCCACCGAGUUACACAUCCACUCACAGCAGGCAGUUGCUACUGCAGGAACAGCUGGAUUUCAACAACCUGCAUCUCCAAGGCUUAGUCCCUGCUGAAUGUGCCAUUCCCUCAGCCCAGCCUUUCUUCUACAAAAGGAGAGGAAGACAGGUAUUUCUAGGAGCAGAGUGGACACGUGUAGUAAGAGGUUGGAUUUGGUUUUCUCCUUCCUUGAUUCCCCUAUCAGUGUACGUGAUUUUGUCCUUCACAGGUAAAGCCGUAAUAAAAACAGUCUGUGCUCAGCUGGGUCAUGACAAAGGGACAGAGACAGAGAUCACUGAUCACACAGGAUUAUGAUCAGAGGCCUUUAAAGCAAGUAUAAGCAGACUUGGUGCUUCCAUUCAGUAUCCACCUAUCCUCAGCUUGCUCUGACUGCCAUCUGUUUUCUACUCUUUCUCUCAGAUUUUCAACAAAGCUUCCCUGUCCCUCAUAAAACCUGCCACUUACCACGGUAAAGUUUGGCUGGAGUGAGUCACAGCCAGGUCAUAAAUUGAUGUAACUACUGUUUCUCUGCUUUCCUUGGAUUGUUAGUGAUCCUGAAGCACCUGGGUUGCCCAAAAUUAUUUUAUUUUAUAUUAAAUGAGAUAAUUGCCAGAAAACAGGACUGCAAACCUGUUGCAUAUGUUCCCAGUCUUCUAUGAUGGCUGUAGGCUUCCUCCUACAAAAGUUUUUUCAGAGGCUUUGUUGUUCAGCAACUCAACUACAAGGAUUCACAGACAGGCAUGCCCAUGUUUUCCACUGGUUUGUUGCACUGAAAAUCGUCUUUACUACACCAUAUACAUACUGCUAAUAUUUACUGUUAUCCCAGUAAAUAUUCUAACAUUAUAAUUUAUCUGAUUAAUGCAGAAAAGCCUCAUUUAUCUGAUGUUCUGGUCACCUUUCCAGAGUGCCUCUCAGUCCUGAGCUUGCCAGUCUUACUGAUGGAGACAAGAAAUGGGACCUGCUUUGUAAGUCAUUAACCCCUGAGACCUUCACAAGACGAACAGUGAUAUUUAUGUUGGGGGAUUCAAAUUCCUCAGCUUUGCAUAAGUUUGCUCUUAUUUUUAAACCUUGCAACAUCUGCUUCCCUCUUACCUAUUCCCAGCUAGUUUGAUAUUGCACAAUAUAUUUACUCCUGGGCUCUCAGAUUUCUACCAUCCUCUGCAAUUUUAUUCCUCUAUCACUCAACCAUUUACUUUACUAAAAUCAGUAGUUUCAGCAAUAUAAAACUGUAAUUCCUUAGUGGAGAAUCCAGGAGACAGGUUAGAGACAGGUUGAUUUUUCAAAAUCACAGCAGUUUUGCUGAUGUGCACAGUCAGCAGAGCUCUAUAAAAAUGGAGGUCAUUGCAUUGUUAAGUUCAGAUUUGUCAUUGAGCUUCUCAGGAAAAGCAUCUAUAAAUGGAAGACAUCAUGAAUGUUCAUACUGUUCAAAGGCCUGUUUUACCUCCUAUCAGCAAUUCAGUAAUUUUUCAAUAUAAAAUAUAAAAAAUCUUAAGCCAAAUAUCUCUUCCAAUUUAUUCUGCUUUUGUAGUAUUUACCAAAUUUAUGUUAAAAUCCCAACAGCUCUUGAAAAACCUUAUAUCUAUGGCUUUUGGGGCCAUGAGUAAAUCAUCUUAUUGUGCACUAGUCUUACAUUAGCCAACUGUUGAUAAAUAUGCUGUAGAAAUACUUAAGUAUUCAAAAUGCUACGUCCUGGUAAAAAAAUAUUCCAGUUCUUUUUCUCAAAGAAUUUGAGAUAUGAGUAAUUGUGGUGGGAUAAAUGAGAACACAUGGACCUGUAGUUAUUCUGAGUCUCUGGAACCCAUCCACCAUUUGCUUUGUGAUAUCACAGAAACACAUAACACAGUGUUCCAGGCAAAAUUAUCAUUACAGAUAAUAUAUUUGUAUUUUUACAGAAAAUUAUAUUUGUAUUUUGUUAUAGAUAUAUAUUUUUGCUUUAAUAACAACCUUCUAUAGAUUUAACAUUUUUUUUAAUUGGUGAUACAAUUCACUGCCUUUUGUCAGUCAGGCUGAUAGUAGUGAAGUAGUAGCCAUAAUAGUACUCUCUGUUAAGAAUAGUAGACUAUAAAGUAGGAAUAUUUUCAAAAGUGUUUCAUGCUUUACACUCAUUAAAGCUUAGUCUCAUAAACCACACUGAGUCCUCUCCUGACAUGUUUCUGGUUGUCAUUAUCUGGUUCUUUUACUGUCUAUGGUUAAGGAAUUAACUUGUGCCAAUAAAGAGGUUUCUUCAUCCAUAAGAUAAUUGUCCACACUGUUAGAAUUACUUGUUCUGUUUCCUCCUUCUGCUGUUUCAGCUGCACACAGUUAAAAUACUGAAUUACUCCUAAAAUUAAUGAAUUAUCUGUUGCUUCUUGACCUAAGCACUCCUGCAGCUGUCUCCUCAGCAUCUCCUGUGUUGCCAUCUGAUUCAACACGUGCACAAGGAACAUUGCAAAGGGAGCUGAGUCAUUCUCUAAAUCUGGAUCGACGUCCUCCGAAAAACAAAACCUUCCUCUGCAGGACUUAAGGGCACGUAUUAACUGUGUUAGUUUGCAUAGGAUGUUUUAGCUUCUCUUACUUUAAAUUACUAGUGUGUCUAACCGAAAAGCACAUAAUUUAGCUGUAUCCACCAAAAUCUUUUUUAUCAUUUGUGUUGCAUAGUGCCUAAUACUUAUUUAUCUUCUUACUUCUGUGUUCUAGUUCCUUUUCUUUUAUUAAUUGUCAUUUCAAAAUAGACUUACAUCUUCAUUGGAUUGAUUUUAGUACACACAUGUAAUUUCUGUGGACUGUGCCUACUUUACUGUCAUUCGGGAACCCUUGAGUCUCAAGGAACAUAACCUCCUGUACAAUCAAAUUGUUAUUCCAGUCAUAACAUUAAAAGAUGUUCACUGUGAAUAUAAAUCUGACUUCAGUCAUGUGAUAUACCUAACAUUUAAAAGGGCUGAUGAAUGAGGAAAUGUAUUAGACACCCUAAAAGUGAGGAAAAAGCAAGAUCAACUGUUUAUGUCUUAUUAUUUUCUUAGCAUAUAAGAUAUCAUACUCAUUCUUUGCAUCUUUAAAUGGAAGGACUUAUGUCCAUCUUGUCUCUGUGCAUGCCAGAAAUGUGUGCUCUGGUAGAUUGAAACCACUCUAGCACUACUACAAGUGAUCAAUUCUAGGAAUUUUUUCAUCUUUAUGUCCAAGUUGCUGGAUUAUUUACAGCUCUGAGUAAGAUUUGCAUCAAGACUUGUGAAGAGCUCUGUAUAUGAGUUAUAUUACAUUGCUCAAAAUAAAGUUUUUCAGUUGACUUCCUUCAAUAUAAUUAUUAUUGUGUUUUAGGUAUUUUCAUGCUAGUGCUGUUUUUGUAAAUGCCUUUAUUAAAUUUAGUAACUGCCUUUAUUAAAUUUGUAAUAUCCCAAAGUAAUACUUUUUGCUUUAGGUUUAUUUUCUUGAUUUAUGUGCUAGCAUGUUUAUCUUCUCCCUCUCUUUUGUCUAGUUCUUUUUUUUAUUUAAUACUGAUUUUUUCCCUUUGUUUUACAGUAAGUCAUGUGGCAUUGACAUCCCUAAGAAAUUUAAAAUUAACAUGGAAGAAAAUUAAACAGCAUAUCAAUGGAUGACAUAGGCAUGAUGGUUUCCCCACGAUGUCAUUGCAUGCUGAUGAAGGGACAGCAAUAUGAAAUAUGAGAUGCAGAUGUGAUCAAAAUACUUCCUUGGUUUUGCAAGGAGUUGCACAAGGAGCCAUUCCUUUUCUGCAAAAGGAAAGCUUGAUUAUUUAUAACUGUGAAAACAAAAAUGGAAAAAUAACUGCCAUAUGUUUCCCAUUUUCUUAAUUUCCUUUCUAUUCCAUGAAAUAUAGAUAUUCCUAUUAAUUAAAAAAAGAAGGCAAAGUGUCA